rnacentral:rRNA from 1 species
AACGAACGCUGGCGGCAUGCCUAACACAUGCAAGUCGAACGAAGCCUUCGGGCUUAGUGGCGCACGGGUGCGUAACGCGUGGGAAUCUGCCCUUGGGUUCGGAAUAACAGUUAGAAAUGACUGCUAAUACCGGAUGAUGUCUUCGUACCAAGGAUUUAUCGCCCAAGGAUGAGCCCGGGUAGGAUUAGGUAGUUGGUGGGGUAAUGGCCCACCAAGUCGACGAUCCUUAGCUGUCUGAGAGGAUGAUCAGCCACCCUUGGACUGAGACACGGGCCAGACUCGUAAGGGAGGCAGCAGUGGGGAAUAUUGGACAAUGGGCGAAGGCCUGAGCCAGCAAUGCCGCGGGAGUGAUGAAGGCCUUAGGGUUGUAAAGCUCCUUUACCAGGGAUGAUAAUGACAGGACCUGGAGAAUAAGCUCCGGCUAACUCCGUGCCAGCCGCCGCGGUAA